CGACUCUCGGCAACGGAUAUCUCGGCUCUCGCAUCGAUGAAGAACGUAGCGAACUGCGAUACUUGGUGUGAAUUGCAGAAUCCCGUGAACCAUCGAGUCUUUGAACGCAAGUUGCGCCUGAAUCCAUUUGGACGAGGGCACGUUUGCCUGGGUGUCACAC
rnacentral:rRNA from 2 species